AACGAACGCUGGCGGCAUGCCUAACACAUGCAAGUCGAACGAGACCUUCGGGUCUAGUUGCGCACGGGUGCGUAACGCGUGGGAACCUGCCCUUAGGUUCGGAAUAACUCCCCGAAGGGGGUGCUAAUGCCGGAUAAUGUCUUCGGACCAAAGAUUUAUCGCCUUUGUAUGGGCGCGGGUUGCAUUGGCUUGUUGGUAGGGUAAAAGCCUACCAAGGCGACGAUCCAUAGCUGGUCUGAGAGAAUGAUCAGCCACACUGGGACUGGGACCCGGCCCAGACUCCUACGCGAAGCAGCAGUGGGGAAUAUUGGACAAUGGGCGAAAGCCUGAUCCAGCAAUGCCGCGUGAGUGAUGAAGGCCUUAGGGUUGUAAAGCUCUUUUACCCGGGAUGAUAAUGACAGUACCGGGAGAAUAAGCUCCGGCUAACUCCGUG
rnacentral:rRNA from 1 species